rnacentral:rRNA from 1 species
CUACGGGGUGCUGCAGUGGGGAAUUUUGCGCAAUGGGCGAAAGCCUGACGCAGCAACGCCGCGUGAGGGAUGAAGGUUCUCGGAUCGUAAACCUCUUUCAGACGGGAAGAACACAAUGACGGUACCGUCAGAAGAAGCCCCGGCUAACUCCGUGCCAGCAGCCGCGGUAAUACGGAGGGGGCAAGCGUUGUUCGGAAUCAUUGGGCGUAAAGCGUAUGUAGGCGGCCAGAUAAGUCAGACGUGUAAGCCCACGGCUCAACCGUGGAAUUGCGUUUGAAACUGUCUGGCUUGAGUACGGGAGAGGAAAGCGGAAUUCCCAGUGUAGCGGUGAAAUGCAUUGAUAUUGGGAAGAACAUCGGUGGCGAAGGCGGCUUUCUGGCCCGAUACUGACGCUGAGAUACGAAAGCCAGGGGAGCAAACGGGAUUAGAUACCCCGUAGUC